AUAGUUUAUACCAAUUGAUUUCUCUUGUAGGGCUAUUUCUCUCCAUAACUUUAGACCUACUAACAUUAUUCCUAGGUUUUUUAGUUGUUUUUUUUCUGAACAAAUUACUAUCAGAAUCUCAAAAUAUUGUAAUUUUUAGUAGAACUUAGCAGCUAUCUGGGUAAUACCAUGUCCCUUGUUUUGAUUUUUGUUCCGUUUCAAUUGUUUUGUUUGUUUGUUUUCAUUGUUUUGUUUACUGCUGCUUAUCAAGUGUACACUAGAGUCUUCCUUCAUUGUACAAAGUUGUAUAUAUAGAGAAGUAUAGAUAUAGAUAUAUAUAUAUAAAACAUCUUAUUUAACAAGUCAUGUGCAAUAUUUUGUCUUAUUGAUGUGUACAUUAAAGAAGAAGUUAGAUUUGAAAUUGUAGAAGUCUAACUCUCAUAGUUCAAAGGUCAAAUCUGUGAAAGAUGUUAACA
rnacentral:lncRNA from 1 species